UUCUGGGGGGAUUGACAGAUUGAGAGCUCUUUCUUGAUUCUGUGGAUGGUGGUGCAUGUCCGUUCUUAGUUUGUGGAGCGAUUUGUCCGGUUAAUUCCGAUAACGAACAAGACUAGCAAGACUAGAUUUCGAUAACGAACAAGCUUAGAAAAAAGUGGCUUGAGCAACUACAGAGUGCUAAUUGAAGUUCAUUCGAUUACCCCCGAGCAAGUGUUCGUCUGUUUAAAUAACGGGGCAUAGAAAAGUAAGUUUCCAUAAAAUUUCGCCAAAAAUAAAAACAAUAUUUACUUCUUGGUGUCAACGAGUCUACGACAUAACUUCCGCGAUACGCU
rnacentral:rRNA from 1 species